GAUGAGUGAAAAUCGACGAGUAAGAUGAGGAAGGAGUAGAAAUUCCGAGAGAAGAACCAAAAUACUUACCGAUGCCCUCGAGACGCUUAAUACUACGACUGGUGGACAGAUAGAAGAUUCUCAUGUAAUAAAAGGCAAUGCCAAUAAGCACCGUACCCAGGAAACGUAUAUAAACAUGUGCUACUGGGGUAGAUAU